GUAGGUGGCAAGCGUUGUCCGGAAUUAUUGGGCGUAAAGCGCGCGCAGGCGGUUCUUUAAGUCUGAUGUGAAAGCCCACGGCUCAACCGUGGAGGGUCAUUGGAAACUGGAGAACUUGAGUACAGAAGAGGAAAGCGGAAUUCCACGUGUAGCGGUGAAAUGCGUAGAGAUGUGGAGGAACACCAGUGGCGAAGGCGGCUUUCUGGUCUGUAACUGACGCUGAGGCGCGAAAGCGUGGGGAGCAAACAGGGAUUAGAUACCCUGGUAGUCCACGCCGUAAACGAUGAGCGCUAAGUGUUAGGGGGGUUUUCCGCCCCCUUAGUGCUGCAGCUAACGCAUUAAGCACUCCGCCUGGGGAGUACGGCCGCAAGGCUG
rnacentral:rRNA from 1 species